CAGCUUUUAGCUGGCUGAAAGGAAAAGCACCACACAGCCUGCGCAGUUGCACACAUACCCAAAGGUAUUCUGGUAACGUCGCCGUUUGGAAGACGUGACUCUGCUUACUACAGGACCCGAUCCUGCAUUCCUGAUUCUUGUUGAGUUGAAUGGGAGUUCGGGGAAUAGAUGGAGGAUCGCCUGGGCAUGCAUGAACAGGACCAUGGGACUCAGAUGUUUACUUCCCCACCAAGGGACUGGAAGGACAGGGAUUGCUGAUUUGCCAAGAUGUGUUUGAUUGGUGCACUGUGUGAGACUAGCUGCUGCUUUUGUUUUGUAGUUGUGAACAAUAUUGUUAAUUGAUGGCCAGGCACCUAGCACUUGGAAUAGGAG